rnacentral:rRNA from 1 species
GAUGAACGCUAGCUACAGGCUUAACACAUGCAAGUCGAGGGACCGGCGCACGGGUGCGUAACACGUAUCCAAGCUGCCCUUUACUCGGGGAUAGCCUUUCGAAAGAAAGAUUAAUACCCGAUAUAAAGUGUGGGGAUGCGUUCCAUUAGGUUGUUGGUGAGGUAACGGCUCACCCAGCCUUCGAUGGCUAGGGGUUCUGAGAGGAAGGCCCCCCACAAUGGAACUGAGACACGGUCCAAACUCCUACGGGAGGCAGCAGUGAGGAAGAUUGGUCAAUGGGCGCUAGCCUGGACCAGCCAAGUAUCGUGAAGGAUGAAGGCUUAUGGGUCGUAAACUUCGUUUAUAUAAGAAUCGGUAUCAUAUGAAUAAGGAUCGGCUAACUCCGUGCCAGCCGCCGCGGUAAUAC